UGUUUGCAACUUUCUAUUUCUCUUGUCUCAUUGUUCAAAUUGUUCCAUAAAAUUGGUCCUUUAUAACCAAUUUUAUGGAACAAUUUGAACAAUGAGACAAGAGAAAUAGAGUUACUAUC